GGAAUAUUGGGCAAUGGGCGCAAGCCUGACCCAGCAACGCCGCGUGAAGGAAGAAGGCCUUCGGGUUGUAAACUUCUUUUAUCAGGGACGAAGAACGUGACGGUACCUGAUGAAUAAGCCACGGCUAACUACGUGCCAGCAGCCGCGGUAAUACGGAGGAUGCGAGCGUUAUCCGGAUUUAUUGGGUUUAAAGGGUGCGUAGGCGGCAUUUCAAGUCAGCGGUAAAAUUGCGGGGCUCAACCCCGUACAGCCGUUGAGACUGAGGAGCUAGAGACGGCGAGAGGUACGCGGAAUGCGCAGUGUAGCGGUGAAAUGCAUAGAUAUUGCGCAGAACUCCGAUUGCGAAGGCAGCGUACUGGCGCCGGACUGACGCUGAGGCACGAAAGCGUGGGGAUCGAACAGG
rnacentral:rRNA from 1 species